rnacentral:rRNA from 1 species
GAUGAACGCUGGCGGAAUGCUUUACACAUGCAAGUCGAACGGCAGCACGGACUUCGGUCUGGUGGCGAGUGGCGAACGGGUGAGUAAUACAUCGGAACGUGCCCAGUCGUGGGGGAUAACGUAGCGAAAGCUACGCUAAUACCGCAUACGAUCUAAGGAUGAAAGCGGGGGAUCGCAAGACCUCGCGCGAUUGGAGCGGCCGAUGGCAGAUUAGGUAGUUGGUAGGGUAAAGGCCUACCAAGCCGACGAUCUGUAGCUGGUCUGAGAGGAUGAUAAGCCACACGGGGACUGAGACACGGCCCAGACUCCUACGGGAGGCAGCAGUGGGGAAUUUUGGACAAUGGGCGCAAGCCUGAUCCAGCCAUUCCGCGUGCAGGAUGAAGGCCUUCGGGUUGUAAACUGCUUUUGUACAGAACGAAAAGGCUCUGGUUAAUACCCGGGGCUCAUGACGGUACUGUAAGAAUAAGCACCGGCUAACUACGUGCCAGCAGCCGCCGUAA